UACGAAGGGGGCUAGCGUUGCUCGGAAUUACUGGGCGUAAAGCGUGCGCAGGCGGUUUUGUAAGUUUGUCGUGGAAAUCCCCGGGCUCAACCUGGGAAUGGCGAUGAAGACUGCAAGGCUAGAAUCUGGCAGAGGGGGGUAGAAUUCCACGUGUAGCAGUGAAAUGCGUAGAGAUGUGGAGGAACACCGAUGGCGAAGGCAGCCCCCUGGGUCAAGAUUGACGCUCAUGCA
rnacentral:rRNA from 1 species